rnacentral:rRNA from 1 species
UACGUAGGGUGCAAGCGUUGUCCGGAAUUAUUGGGCGUAAAGAGCUCGUAGGCGGUUUGUCGCGUCUGCUGUGAAAACGCGAGGCUCAACCUCGCGCUUGCAGUGGGUACGGGCAGACUAGAGUGCGGUAGGGGAGAUUGGAAUUCCUGGUGUAGCGGUGGAAUGCGCAGAUAUCAGGAGGAACACCGAUGGCGAAGGCAGAUCUCUGGGCCGUAACUGACGCUGAGGAGCGAAAGCGUGGGGAGCGAACAGG